CUUGAUAGCCCUUUACAUUCACUAUCCGCCCGGGUACUACGAGCGUUAGCUUAAAACCCAAAGGACCUGGCGGUGCUUUAGAUCCCCCUAGAGGAGCCUGUUCUAGAACCGAUAAUCCCCGUUAAACCUCACCCUCUCUUGCCCUUUCCGCCUAUAUACCGCCGUCGCCAGCUUACCCUGUUGAAGGAACCAUAGUGGGCAAAAUCAGUACAACUCAAAACGCCAGGUCGAGGUGCAGCUUAUGAGAGGGGAAGAAAUGGGCUACAUUCCCUAUUUCAGGGAAUACGAACCGUGCAAUGAAAUGUGCAUAGAAGGUGGAUUUAGCAGUAAGCAGAAAAUAGAGCG
rnacentral:rRNA from 1 species